GUGAGAGAGCUGUGACUGCGUUUCCAGCUCCUUGAAGGCAGAGAGACUCCUGCCUUUCGGGGCGGGCGGGCUGGAACAAAGACACCAACGGGGCCACCUCGGAAAGUCUUUUUGAGCAGUUUCAGCAAAUAGCAUUUAAGGGAAGGGAAAAAAACUCCAAUGUACUCAAUAAGUGUGUACAGCAAAUUUCUGUUGUGCCUGGGAAGAAGGAAAUUUGAGUUAAAGAGGAGGCCCGCUCCAUAUGCCUUGUCACAAGUACACUCACUGAAACAUUAAUUCACGAAGAGAUUGCAACAAGACCAAAACGAAAGAGGAACAGGGCCUGACAAUGUUCAGAGAAGGAAAACCGAAGAAGUAACCAUCCCCAAGUUAAAAAUGACGUGGGGAUGAAAAAAUAGGUUGCCUGUUGUAUUUGUCAUUGAAAUGCACAAUCUUGUUUACUGUUUAUCUUGAGACUCUGGGAGCUCUCCUGCUGCUUAGGAAAAAAGAGGCAAAGGUUUAGGAAGAAAUGCUAGUCAUAAGAAAGAGAGGCAUUAGAAACCCUAGAGAGAAUGGGAGGUGUAAAUAGUAUGUGGGCAUUUGGCAAUCACCACAAAGAAAUGGGAGACAAAGGCAAGUGUCUGAUGCCAGAAAUCCUAAAAACUUGAGUGGAAAACCCAGACACAAUAAAAAUGUCCAAA
rnacentral:lncRNA from 1 species